GCCGAUGUAGCUCAAUGGUAGAGCAUCUGCUUUGUAAGCAGAGGGUUGGGGGUUCGAGUCCCUUCAUCGGCU
rnacentral:tRNA from 1 species